AUUGAACGCUGGCGGCAUGCUUUACACAUGCAAGUCGAACGGCAGCGCGGGCUUCGGCCUGGCGGCGAGUGGCGAACGGGUGAGUAAUGCAUCGGAACGUGCCCAGUAUUGGGGGAUAGCCCGGCGAAAGCCGGAUUAAUACCGCAUACGACCUGAGGGUGAAAGCGGGGGACCGAAAGGCCUCGCGCUAUUGGAGCGGCCGAUGUCGGAUUAGCUAGUUGGUGGGGUAAAGGCUUACCAAGGCGACGAUCCGUAGCUGGUCUGAGAGGACGACCAGCCACACUGGGACUGAGACACGGACCAGACUCCUACGGGAGGCAGCAGUGGGGAAUGUUGGACAAUGGGGGCAACCCUGAUCCAGCCAUGCCGCGUGCGGGAAGAAGGCCUUCGGGUUGUAAACCGCUUUUGUUCGGGAAGAAAUCCUCUGGGCUAAUACCCCGGGGGGAUGACGGUACCGGAAGAAUAAGCACCGGCUAACUACGUG
rnacentral:rRNA from 1 species